rnacentral:rRNA from 1 species
GUGAUUAUACCUACACUAAUGCACCGGAUCUCAUCAGAACUCCUAAGUUAAGCGUACUUGGGCGAGAGCAGUACUAGGAUGGGUGACCCCCUGGGAAGUCCUCGUGUUGCACUU